GCCCGGCUAGCGCAGUCGGUAGAGCAUGAGACUCUCAAUCUCAGGGUUGUAGGUUGGAGCCCUACAUUGGGCG